rnacentral:tRNA from 1 species
GGAUUGUAGCUCAGUGGUAGAGCAUUCACCUAGCACGUGAGAGGCCCUGGGUUUGAUUCUCAGCACCA